AGGGAUAUAGCUUAGUGGCAUAAGCACCUGCCUGGCAAGCACAAGGUCAUGAGUUUGAUCUUCAGUACCCCCU
rnacentral:tRNA from 1 species